rnacentral:misc_RNA from 1 species
GGAGGCUACUCGACCCAGGGUCACACCUCAUUAAUGCCAAUCAAUUGAUGGAUCGUGUUGUAUGUGUUAGAUCAGGGGCCAAGAAGUCUUUACUUACUGUCUUCCGAAAUGGCAUUUGUCAUCCAAAAUUGGCAAUGGUUAUUGAUGACCGACUCAAAGUGUGGGAUGAUAAAGAUCAACCUCGUGUUCAUGUUGUCCCUGCUUUCGCUCCGUAUUAUGCUCCACUAGCAGAGAUGGCCAAUGCAGUACCGGUCCUGUGUGUGGCAAGAAAUGUUGCUUGUGAUGUUAGAGCUCGUUUCUUUAAAGAGUUUGAUGAAGGCCUACUCCGAAAGAUCUGUGAGAUUUUCUAUGAAGAUGAGGCUGUAAAUUUACCUUCUGCGCCUGAUGUUAGCAACUACUUAAUGUCCG